UUGCCGGCGACCUUGCCAUCACUAGCCUAUCUGCAGUUUUGCAGGGAUGGACAUAUGGAUUGAAUGGUACCCUCCUGAAAUCUACACAGAUGUCAGAUCUGAGAAAGAAGAAAUAGGGCAAAGAAAAUCAGAUCGGAGAAAGAAGAGAUGGAGAACAAUUUUAACUGAAGAGUUGAAGAAGACUAAGCACGAGUCCCCCUGAAGUGCUUGACCACCGGCCGGUUGCAGUGGAGGUCAGCAUCACCUAGCUGUGGCCAUCCUGGGCGCCGAGAGAAUUAGCUGAAAAAUCUUGCUGAGAUCCAGGUCACGGGUCAUCCCCAUUCAGGUGGCUAUGAAACUUGUUCCUAAUGAAGAUAAAUUCGUGGAGGUGGCUAGGGGAACAUGAGGAGCAAGUUUAGCCUAGCA